rnacentral:rRNA from 1 species
AACGCUAGCUACAGGCUUAACACAUGCAAGUCGAGGGGCAGCAUGAUUCCAGCUUGCUGGAAUUGAUGGCGACCGGCGCACGGGUGAGUAACGCGUAUCCAACCUACCGUAUACUCAGGGAUAGCCUUCCGAAAGGGAGAUUAACACCUGAUAGAAUCUAUAGGCCUCCUGGCUUUAAGAUUAAAUGUAAAGGUAUAUGAUGGGGAUGCGUUCCAUUAGAUAGUAGGCGGGGUAGCGGCCCACCUAGUCAACGAUGGAUAGGGGUUCUGAGAGGAAGGUCCCCCACAUUGGAACUGAGACACGGUCCAAACUCCUACGGGAGGCAGCAGUGAGGAAUAUUGGUCAAUGGAUGAGAAUCUGAACCAGCCAAGUAGCGUGAAGGAUGACGGCCCUACGGGUUGUAAACUUCUUUUGAAAGGGAAUAAAGUGUGGUACGUGUACCAUAUUGUAUGUACCUUUGGAAUAAGCAUCGGCUAACUCCGUGCCAGCAGCCGCGGUAAUACGGAAGAUGCGAGCGUUAUCCGGAUUUAUUGGGUUUAAAGGGAGCGUAGGCGGGUCGGUAAGUCAGCGGUAAAAUAUCUUGGCUCAACCAGGUUGUGCCGUUGAAACUGCCGGUCUUGAGAUUACACAAGGCAGAUGGAAUUCGUGGUGUAGCGGUGAAAUGCUUAGAUAUCACGAAGAACUCCGAUUG